GACGAACGCUGGCGGCGUGCUUAACACAUGCAAGUCGAACGGAAAGGCCCUGCUUUUGUGGGGUGCUCGAGUGGCGAACGGGUGAGUAACACGUGAGUAACCUGCCCUUGACUUUGGGAUAACUUCAGGAAACUGGGGCUAAUACCGGAUAGGAGCUCCUGCUGCAUGGUGGGGGUUGGAAAGUUUCGGAUGUUGGGGAUGGACUCGCGGCUUAUCAGCUUGUUGGUGGGGUAGUGGCUUACCAAGGCUUUGACGGGUAGCCGGCCUGGGAGGGUGACCGGCCACAUGGGGACUGAGAUACGGCCCAGACUCCUACGGGAGGCAGCAGUGGGGAAUAUUGCACAAUGGGCGGAAGCCUGAUGCAGCAACGCCGCGUGCGGGAUGACGGCCUUCGUGUUGUAAACCGCUUUCGCCUGUGACGAAGCGUGAGUGACGGUAAUGGGUAAAGAAGCACCGGCUAACUACGUG
rnacentral:rRNA from 1 species